GGGCAUUGCGCAUGGGGGAAGCCUGAGCAGCGACGCCGCGUGCGGGAUGAAGGCCUUCGGGUUGUAAACCGCUUUUGAUUGGGAGCAAGCCUUUUGGGUGCCUGUACCUUUAGAAUAAGCGCCGGAUAACUACGUGCCCGCAGCCGUGCUAAUACA
rnacentral:rRNA from 1 species